AGAUUGAACGCUGGCGGCAGGCUUAACACAUGCAAGUCGAGCGGAGAGAGGUAGCUUGCUACUGAUCUUAGCGGCGGACGGGUGAGUAAUGCUUAGGAAUCUGCCUAUUAGUGGGGGACAACAUUUCGAAAGGAAUGCUAAUACCGCAUACGUCCUACGGGAGAAAGCAGGGGAUCUUCGGACCUUGCGCUAAUAGAUGAGCCUAAGUCGGAUUAGCUAGUUGGUGGGGUAAAGGCCUACCAAGGCGACGAUCUGUAGCGGGUCUGAGAGGAUGAUCCGCCACACUGGGACUGAGACACGGCCCAGACUCCUACGGGAGGCAGCAGUGGGGAAUAUUGGACAAUGGGCGGAAGCCUGAUCCAGCCAUGCCGCGUGUGUGAAGAAGGCCUUAUGGUUGUAAAGCACUUUAAGCGAGGAGGAGGCUACUUUAGUUAAUACCUAGAGAUAGUGGACGUUACUCGCAGAAUAAGCACCGGCUAACUCUGUGCCAGCAGCCGCGGUAAUACAGAGGGUGCAAGCGUUAAUCGGAUUUACUGGGCGUAAAGCGCGCGUAGGCGGCUAAUUAAGUCAAAUGUGAAAUCCCCGAGCUUAACUUGGGAAUUGCAUUCGAUACUGGUUAGCUAGAGUGUGGGAGAGGAUGGUAGAAUUCCAGGUGUAGCGGUGAAAUGCGUAGAGAUCUGGAGGAAUACCGAUGGCGAAGGCAGCCAUCUGGCCUAACACUGACGCUGAGGUGCGAAAGCAUGGGGAGCAAACAGGAUUAGAUACCCUGGUAGUCCAUGCCGUAAACGAUGUCUACUAGCCGUUGGGGCCUUUGAGGCUUUAGUGGCGCAGCUAACGCGAUAAGUAGACCGCCUGGGGAGUACGGUCGCAAGACUAAAACUCAAAUGAAUUGACGGGGGCCCGCACAAGCGGUGGAGCAUGUGGUUUAAUUCGAUGCAACGCGAAGAACCUUACCUGGCCUUGACAUAGUAAGAACUUUCCAGAGAUGGAUUGGUGCCUUCGGGAACUUACAUACAGGUGCUGCAUGGCUGUCGUCAGCUCGUGUCGUGAGAUGUUGGGUUAAGUCCCGCAACGAGCGCAACCCUUUUCCUUAUUUGCCAGCGAGUAAUGUCGGGAACUUUAAGGAUACUGCCAGUGACAAACUGGAGGAAGGCGGGGACGACGUCAAGUCAUCAUGGCCCUUACGGCCAGGGCUACACACGUGCUACAAUGGUCGGUACAAAGGGUUGCUACCUAGCGAUAGGAUGCUAAUCUCAAAAAGCCGAUCGUAGUCCGGAUUGGAGUCUGCAACUCGACUCCAUGAAGUCGGAAUCGCUAGUAAUCGCGGAUCAGAAUGCCGCGGUGAAUACGUUCCCGGGCCUUGUACACACCGCCCGUCACACCAUGGGGAGUUUGUUGCACCAGAAGUAGCUAGCCUAACUGCAAAGAGGGCGGUUACCACGGUGUGGCCGAUGACUGGGGUG
rnacentral:rRNA from 1 species